CGGCGGGCUUAUACUGCAGUCGAGGGGUAACGAUGGCUUCGGCCAGGCGACGACCGGCGCACCCUUUUGAAACACGUAUGCAACCUACCUUCAACUGGGGAAUACUUUUGAGAAAUCGGGAUUAAUACCCCAUAAUAUUUAUCAUUCGCAUGUUUGAUAAAUUAAAACUCCGGUGGUUGAAGAUGGGCAUGCGCGACAUUAGUUAGUUGGUGAGGUAACGGCUCACCAAGACCGCGAUGUCUAGGGGUUCUGAGAGGACUAUCCCCCACACUGGUACUGAGACACGGACCAGACUCCUACGGGAGGCAGCAGUAAGGAAUAUUGGUCAAUGGACGAAAGUCUGAACCAGCCAUGCCGCGUGCAGGAUGACAGCCCUAUGGGUUGUAAACUGCUUUUAUAUAGGAAGAAACUCAUGCUCGUGAGCGUGACUGACGGUACUAUAUGAAUAAGGACCGGCUAACUCCGUGCCAGCAGCCGCGGUAAUACGGAGGGUCCAAGCGUUAUCCGGAUUCAUUGG
rnacentral:rRNA from 1 species